rnacentral:misc_RNA from 1 species
UGCGCCGUUCAUGGGGAGUAGCCGGUUUCUAUUCGUUAUAUUGAAUUGAUAUAUCGAUAUAUAGAGACGCUCGUAUCAACAUACUCGUUUCAUUUAUUGGAACGUGGUGCGGGCAACCAGGUAAGGUUGGCGAGACCAUAGACACGUAG